rnacentral:sRNA from 1 species
AUGUAUCACGCAUCCACCCCGGUUCUUCCGCGCCGUCCCCGCCCAGCUGACGACUGCUCGCCACGUGUCAUCGGCC